rnacentral:piRNA from 1 species
UGCCUGAAUGAAUGUUUCCAGACUCUUGCA